UACGUAGGGUGCAAGCGUUGUCCGGAAUUAUUGGGCGUAAAGAGCUCGUAGGCGGUUUGUCGCGUCUGCUGUGAAAACUCAGGGCUUAACCCUGAGCCUGCAGUGGGUACGGGCAGACUAGAGUGUGGUAGGGGAGAUCGGAAUUCCUGGUGUAGCGGUGGAAUGCGCAGAUAUCAGGAAGAACACCCGUGGCGAAGGCGGCUCUCUGGAACGCAACUGACGCUGAGACGCGAAAGCGUGGGGAGCAAACAGG
rnacentral:rRNA from 1 species